rnacentral:rRNA from 1 species
CGUAGGUGGCAAGCGUUAUCCGGAUUUAUUGGGCGUAAAGCGAGCGCAGGCGGUUGCUUAGGUCUGAUGUGAAAGCCUUCGGCUUAACCGAAGAAGUGCAUCGGAAACCGGGCGACUUGAGUGCAGAAGAGGACAGUGGAACUCCAUGUGUAGCGGUGGAAUGCGCAGAUAUAUGGAAGAACACCAGUGGCGAAGGCGGCUGUCUGGUCUGCAACUGACGCUGAGGCUCGAAAGCAUGGGUAGCGAACAGGAUU